UGGUUCUGGCAUCGAUGAAGAACGCGGCGAAAUGCGAUAAGUAAUGUGAAUUGCAGAAUUCAGUGAAUCAUCGAAUCUUUGAACGCACAUUGCGCCCGCCAGCACUCUGGCGGGCAUGCCUGUUCGAGCGUCAUUUCAACCCUCAGGCCCCGCCUGGCGUUGGGGCACUACCGCGUGCGUAGGCCCUGAAAUUCAGUGGCGAGCCCGCCCGGACUCCGAGCGCAGUAGGCACAUACCUCGCUCAGGGCGUCCGGGCGCGCGUCGGCCGUUAAACCCAACAGACCCAGCAAGGUUGACCUCGGAUCAGGUAGGAGUACCCGCUGA
rnacentral:misc_RNA from 1 species